rnacentral:lncRNA from 1 species
AAGGGCAUUUUUGUCAUUUUUCUUCGAUAAUACCGAAACUCGCCAAAAACAUGGUGUAAAAUCUAAAUAUGUUCAUACAUAUUUUAAAUCAGAUAACUAAAGUAUAAAAUUACUUUUAUAAUGACACGUGGGCCCCCAACUAACCAAUAAGAUGAGAGUCUGUGAACCUAUAAUUUUGACAAUGCAAGGCUAACUGAAAUCCUUGAUGCAAUCGGCUAUCUACCGGCUAUCCCGAACCUGAAAUGUGGGG